rnacentral:rRNA from 1 species
UACGAAGGGGGCUAGCGUUGCUCGGAAUUACUGGGCGUAAAGCGCACGUAGGCGGCUUUCUAAGUCGGGGGUGAAAUCCUGGAGCUCAACUCCAGAACUGCCUUCGAUACUGGAGAGCUCGAGUCCGGGAGAGGUGAGUGGAACUGCGAGUGUAGAGGUGAAAUUCGUAGAUAUUCGCAAGAACACCAGUGGCGAAGGCGGCUCACUGGCCCGGUACUGACGCUGAGGUGCGAAAGCGUGGGGAGCAAAAGGG